GACGAACGCUGGCGGCAUGCCUAAUACACGCAAGUCGAGCGAACAGAUGAAGUGCUUGCACUUCUGACGUUAGCGGCGAACGGGUGAGUAACACGUAAGGAAUCUACCUAUAAGCGGGGGAUAACAUUCGGAAACGGGUGCUAAUACCGCAUAAUAUCUUCUUCCGCAUAGAAGAAGAUUGAAAGACGGCUCUGCUGUCACUUACAGAUGAACUUGCGGUGCAUUAGUUAGUUGGUGGGGUAACGGCCUACCAAGACGAUGAUGCAUAGCCGACCUGAGAGGGUGAUCGGCCACAUUGGGACUGAGACACGGCCCAAACUCCUACGGGAGGCAGCAGUAGGGAAUCUUCCGCAAUGGGCGAAAGCCUGACGGAGCAAUGCCGCGUGAGUGAAGAAGGCCUUCGGGUCGUAAAACUCUGUUAUAAGGGAAGAACAAAUUGUAGAGUAACUGCUACAGUCUUGACGGUAUCUUAUCAGAAAGCCACGGCUAACUACGUGCCAGCCGCCGCCGUAA
rnacentral:rRNA from 1 species